rnacentral:rRNA from 1 species
CGGACGGGUGAGUAACACGUGGAUAACCUACCUAUAAGACUGGGAUAACUUCGGGAAACCGGAGCUAAUACCGGAUAAUAUAUUGAACCGCAUGGUUCAAUAGUGAAAGACGGUUUUGCUGUCACUUAUAGAUGGAUCCGCGCCGCAUUAGCUAGUUGGUAAGGUAACGGCUUACCAAGGCAACGAUGCGUAGCCGACCUGANAGGGUGAUCGGCCACACUGGAACUGAGACACGGUCCAGACUCCUACGGGAGGCAGCAGAA